ACACAACUAACCCCUCUACCGCCCGCUCGCCUUCUCACAUGCUCACGCACGCCCACAAAACACUCCCCUUCUCGCGAUUCCGCCCCACGAUCACGUAGUCCCUAACAACAAUUCCUCCACAUAAUCCUUAACAUUCUUCCACUCCGCGCCCCCACCACAGUGUGACCUCUGAUAUUCUUCCAUUCUGAUUCUCUUUCUAUAAGAACCCCUUUUAUACAACCUUUCCUUCGGAUCUCUUUUCUCUUUCUUUCCUUAAUCAAUUUGUAAUCUGUAUUAGGAUAGUGCUUAGUCUGUUUGUACACCGUUGCAGAUAGUGCAGACAGUACAAAUGGUACAAUCCACAAUGUUGGCUUAAUCGGUAGCACACCCGUUACACAGUAUCAGUUUUUAUUGAGGAGAUUACAACUGAAUAUAAUUUUUAAAAAAAUAAGUCUGAAAAAUAAACCAUACUCAGCUCUUCACUCUCUCAAAAUUUUAUAUAUAUUAAACAACUUUUAUACACUCUCACUGUAUAUUAUUAAUCAACUUUUAUUUAAUUAGUUCUUCUACUUCAAUAUCUGAGACUCUCUAAUAUCUAAAAAGCAGU
rnacentral:sRNA from 2 species